AUGCAGUCGAACGGUGAAGCCAAGCUUGCUUGGUGGAUCAGUGGCGAACGGGUGAGUAACACGUGAGCAACCUGCCCUGGACUCUGGGAUAAGCGCUGGAAACGGCGUCUAAUACUGGAUAUGAGCUCUCAUCGCAUGGUGGGGGUUGGAAAGAUUUUUCGGUCUGGGAUGGGCUCGCGGCCUAUCAGCUUGUUGGUGAGGUAAUGGCUCACCAAGGCGUCGACGGGUAGCCGGCCUGAGAGGGUGACCGGCCACACUGGGACUGAGACACGGCCCAGACUCCUACGGGAGGCAGCAGUGGGGAAUAUUGCACAAUGGGCGGAAGCCUGAUGCAGCAACGCCGCGUGAGGGAUGACGGCCUUCGGGUUGUAAACCUCUUUUAGCAGGGAAGAAGCGAGAGUGACGGUACCUGCAGAAAAAGCGCCGGCUAACUACGUGCCAGCAGCCGCGGUAAUACGUAGGGCGCAAGCGUUAUCCGGAAUUAUUGGGCGUAAAGAGCUCGUAGGCGGUUUGUCGCGUCUGCUGUGAAAUCCCGAGGCUCAACCUCGGGCCUGCAGUGGGUACGGGCAGACUAGAGUGCGGUAGGGGAGAUUGGAAUUCCUGGUGUAGCGGUGGAAUGCGCAGAUAUCAGGAGGAACACCGAUGGCGAAGGCAGAUCUCUGGGCCGUAACUGACGCUGAGGAGCGAAAGGGUGGGGAGCAAACAGGCUUAGAUACCCUGGUAGUCCACCCCGUAAACGUUGGGAACUAGUUGUGGGGACCAUUCCACGGUUUCCGUGACGCAGCUAACGCAUUAAGUUCCCCGCCUGGGGAGUACGGCCGCAAGGCUAAAACUCAAAGGAAUUGACGGGGACCCGCACAAGCGGCGGAGCAUGCGGAUUAAUUCGAUGCAACGCGAAGAACCUUACCAAGGCUUGACAUACACCAGAACACCGUAGAAAUACGGGACUCUUUGGACACUGGUGAACAGGUGGUGCAUGGUUGUCGUCAGCUCGUGUCGUGAGAUGUUGGGUUAAGUCCCGCAACGAGCGCAACCCUCGUUCUAUGUUGCCAGCACGUAAUGGUGGGAACUCAUGGGAUACUGCCGGGGUCAACUCGGAGGAAGGUGGGGAUGACGUCAAAUCAUCAUGCCCCUUAUGUCUUGGGCUUCACGCAUGCUACAAUGGCCGGUACAAAGGGCUGCAAUACCGUGAGGUGGAGCGAAUCCCAAAAAGCCGGUCCCAGUUCGGAUUGAGGUCUGCAACUCGACCUCAUGAAGUCGGAGUCGCUAGUAAUCGCAGAUCAGCAACGCUGCGGUGAAUACGUUCCCGGGUCUUGUACACACCGCCCGUCAAGUCAUGAAAGUCGGUAACACCUGAAGCCGGUGGCCCAACCCUUGUGGAGGGAGCCGUCGAA
rnacentral:rRNA from 2 species